GACGAACGCUGGCGGCGUGCUUAACACAUGCAAGUCGAACGGAAAGGCCUCUUUCGGGGGGUACUCGAGUGGCGAACGGGUGAGUAACACGUGAGUAACCUGCCCUUGACUUUGGGAUAACUUCAGGAAACUGGGGCUAAUACCGGAUAGGAGCUCCUGCUGCAUGGUGGGGGUUGGAAAGUUUCGGCGGUUGGGGAUGGACUCGCGGCUUAUCAGCUUGUUGGUGGGGUAGUGGCUUACCAAGGCUUUGACGGGUAGCCGGCCUGAGAGGGUGACCGGCCACAUUGGGACUGAGAUACGGCCCAGACUCCUACGGGAGGCAGCAGGGGGGAAUAUUGCACAAUGGGUGGAAGCCGGAUGCAGCAACGCCGUGUGCGGGAUGACGGCCUUCGGGUUGGAAACCGCUUUCGCUCAUGACGAAGCUUUGUGUGACGGUAGUGGGUAAAGAAGCACCGGCUAACUACGUG
rnacentral:rRNA from 1 species